rnacentral:rRNA from 1 species
UACGUAAGGGGCAAGCGUUAUCCGGAAUUACUGGGUGUAAAGGGAGCGUAGGCGGUGAUGUAAGUCAGAUGUGAAAGGCAGGGGCUCAACCCCUGGACUGCAUUUGAAACUGCAUGACUGGAUUGCAGGAGAGGCAAGUGGAAUUCCUAGUGUAGCGGUGAAAUGCGUAGAUAUUAGGAGGAACACCAGUGGCGAAGGCGGCUUGCUGGACUGUAAAUGACGCUGAGGCUCGAAAGCGUGGGGAGCAAACAGG